rnacentral:rRNA from 1 species
CCUACGGGAGGCAGCAGUCGAGAAUCAUUCACAAUUGGGGAAACCCUGAUGGUGCGACGCCGCGUGGGGGAAUGAAGGUCUUCGGAUUGUAAACCCCUGUCAUGUGGGAGCAAAUUAAAAAGAUAGUACCACAAGAGGAAGAGACGGCUAACUCUGUGCCAGCAGCCGCGGUAAUACCGAGGUCCCAAGCGUUGUUCGGAAUCACUGGGCGUAAAGGGUGCGUAGGCUGUUUCGUAAGUCGUGUGUGAAAUGCGCGGGCUCAACCCGCGGACGGCACAUGAUACUGCGAGACUAGAGUAAUGGAGGGGGAACCGGAAUUCUCGGUGUAGCAGUGAAAUGCGUAGAUAUCGAGAGGAACACUCGUGGCGAAGGCGGGUUCCUGGACAUUAACUGACGCUGAGGCACGAAGGCGAGGGGAGCGAAAGGGAUUAGAUACCCUGGUAGUC